rnacentral:tRNA from 1 species
ACACUGGUGGUUCAGUGGAAGAAUUCUUGCCUUCCAUGCUGCAGACCCAGGUUCGAUUCCUGCCCAGUACA